GGACCCUGCCCUCUCGGACUGGGUGGGAGGCGGAGCGGGGUUCCCAGGAUCAUGGCCAAACCCGGGAUGGGGCUGGACCCCGGGGGCGUAGCUGCCGCCACUGUGCUAAAGCGGGCGGUGGAGCUGGACGCCGAGUCCCGGUACCCGCAGGCGCUGGUGUGUUACCAGGAGGGCAUCGACCUGCUGCUGCAGGUUCUCAAAGGCACCAAAGAUGAUACAAAGAAAUGUAACCUCAGGAAAAAAAUUUCCGACUACAUGGAUAGAGCAGAAAACAUAAAGAAGUACUUGGAUCAAGAAAAAGAAGAUGGAAAGUAUCACAAGCAAAUUAAAAUAGAGGAGAAUGCAACAGGAUUCAGUUAUGAGUCGCUUUUUCAAGAAUACCUUAAUGAGACAGUGAGAGAAGUUUGGAUAGAAGACCCUUACAUUAGGCAUACUCAUCAGCUGUAUAACUUCCUUCGAUUUUGUGAGAUGCUUAUCAAGAAACCAUGUAAAGUACAAACCAUUCAUCUUCUGACCUCCCUGGAUGAAGGCUUUGGGAAAGCACAGCAAAUUAGUGGCCUGGAAGAAAUAAAAGCAUCACUUAGGAAUCAUGGAGUGCUGUUGGAAUUAGAAUAUUCUUCUUCCAUACAUGACCGAGAAAUUAGGGAUCUUACCUGAAACCUGGGUAUGGGCCCUGACCAGAAGUCGAACCCACAACCUUUUGGUGUAUGGGAUGAUGCUCCAACUGAGCCACCUGGCCAGGGCUCAAGAGUAAGUUUUAAUGUAAUUGUUAAACUCUUUUAUCACUUAAUCAAAUCAACCCUUGGUUUCUCUGAAUGUUUUGUUUCAUUGUAGACACAGCCCAUGAGUUACCCCAGGUUUGGUUCAACUCAUGCUACUGGAGGAAAUGGUUUUCUUUUAGGGGGAGAUUUGCUGAUACUUCAUACCCUACAGCUUUGAUAAUUGUCUGGCAUAACUUUCUGGAAUAUUAUACUAUAUACUUA